AUUGAACGCUGGCGGCAGGCCUAACACAUGCAAGUCGAGCGGAUGAAGGGAGCUUGCUCCUGGAUUCAGCGGCGGACGGGUGAGUAAUGCCUAGGAAUCUGCCUGGUAGUGGGGGAUAACGUCCGGAAACGGGCGCUAAUACCGCAUACGUCCUGAGGGAGAAAGUGGGGGAUCUUCGGACCUCACGCUAUUAGAUGAGCCUAGGUCGGAUUAGCUAGUUGGUGAGGUAAAGGCGUACCAAGGCGACGAUCCGUAACUGGUCUGAGAGGAUGAUCAGUCACACUGGAACUGAGACACGGUCCAGACUCCUACGGGAGGCAGCAGUGGGGAAUAUUGGACAAUGGGCGAAAGCCUGAUCCAGCAAUGCCGCGUGUGUGAAGAAGGUCUUCGGAUUGUAAAGCACUUUAAGUUGGGAAGAAGGGCAGUGAGUUAAUACCUUGCUGUUUUGACGUUACCAAAAGAGUAAGCACCGGCUAACUUCGUG
rnacentral:rRNA from 1 species